rnacentral:rRNA from 1 species
AGAGUUGAUCCUGGCUCAGGACGAACGCUGGCGGUGCGCUUUAUGCAUGCAAGUCGAGCGAAGCUUUUCAGUAGUUUACUACAGAAAAUGACUGAGCGGCGAACGGGUGAGUAACGCGUGAGCAAUCUACCUUAGUUACAGGGAUAGCCCGAGGAAACUCGGAUUAAUACGUGAUAUUCUUUAUUUCUCGCAUGAGAAUAAAAGGAAAGGUCAGCCGAACUAAGAUGAGCUCGCGUUCUAUCAGCUAGUUGGUGAGGUAAAAGCUUACCAAGGCUACGACGGAUAGCUGGUCUGAGAGGACGAUCAGCCACACUGGGACUGAGACACGGCCCAGACUCCUACGGGAGGCUGCAGCAGGGAAUAUUGUGCAAUGAACGAAAGUUUGACACAGCGACACCGCGUGUGGGAUGACGGAUCUAGGUUUGUAAACCACUUUCAGGAGGGAAGAAAAUGACGGUACCUCCACAAGAAGCCCCGGCCAACUACGUGCCAGCAGCCGCGGUAAUACGUAGGGGGCGAGCGUUGUCCGGAUUUAUUGGGCGUAAAGAGCUCGUAGGCGGUUCAACAAGUCGGUCGUGAAAGUUCAGGGCUCAACCCUGAAAUGUCGAUCGAUACUGUUGUGACUAGGAUACGGUAGAGGUGAGUGGAAUUCCGAGUGUAGCGGUGAAAUGCGUAGAUAUUCGGAGGAACACCAAUUGCGAAGGCAGCUCACUGGACCGCUAUCGACGCUGAGGAGCGAAAGCUAGGGGAGCAAACAGGAUUAGAUACCCAGGUAGUCCUAGCUGUAAACGAUGGAUACUAGACGUAGGAACUGGAUUGACGGUUUCUGUGUCGUAGCUAACGCGUUAAGUAUCCCGCCUGGGGAGUACGGUCGCAAGACUAAAACUUAAAGGAAUUGACGG